CUUCUCCCUAGGUAAGGCGGGUCCCAGAGCCCCUUUAAUUUGACAGGAAGGCCCUUACCUUUUGGGUAUCUGACCCUUGGAGAAGUGCUGCCCUUGCUGAAAUGUUCCCUGUGGUCCAUGAAAUCCAAUUAGAGGAACUUAUGAGUUCCUUUUCUGCCUUGCCCAGAGAGGCCACUGUCCCUCCUUGUAUGCGUUUCUAGGAUCCCAAGGAUCAGGAAAUGGGGCAGGUCAGUGCCACACAGCCAGAGAGGCAGUAUGCCAGCUUCUGGUCCUGGCUAGGAUGCUUGUCCACUGACUAGGAUCUGUGUGGGAGCUAGAGCCACACACGCAGCUGAAUAUGUGAUCUGGGCAUUGUGGCCCUCUCCUGCAGGGGUAUGGCCACCCUUUGUCAUCAAUGGGUAGUAAAAUGGCCUAUCUCUCCUGCUGCAGCCAGUCUUGCCUAUCUCUCCUGCUGCAGCCAGUCCUACUUACAAGAUCAUAUAUUUCCCAAGUCGGGACCAAGGAGGAGCAGUCAGAGACCAACUGGCACAUGGGCACCUGUGCCAAGCCCUCCUAGCCUCUUUCCUCCAGGGCCACUCUGUGCAGGGUCUGGAGGAGAGAGAGGGUGCUAAGCUUCAGCUGAGAGCCCCGAGGUACAGAACACAGGCUCGGUGGGGCUCCUUGAAGAAACCGGGGGAUGAAAUUAUGAGCUCUGGUUACCCCUUGUGCAACCUCCUGAGAUCAGAGCUUGAGCAAGACCUGGUAUGGGGGAGGGAGGGAGGGAACCACAAAACCCACAGGGCAGAGGGCAAUGCACAUCACUACCAGCGUGACAAAACCCUGCCAUCACUCAGGACAGAUGGAGGCUACACCUGGAACACAAGUCUGCAUGGUUGGGCCUGGCUCACUGUGGGUGCCGUCUGUGGUUUACUGAUGGGAAAUAAAACCCAAGGGCCGAAAAGUUGCUCAGUGGGUAGAGCAUGAGAACCCUGAGUUCAGAUCCUCAGAGCCCACAUUAAAGUAAAACCAGCUCUGGGAGGAGGGGGGAAGAUAGGCAGGUUCAGGGGGUUCGCUGGCCAGCUACUAGAACCAAAAAAGAUGAGCUCUGGUUCCGUGAGAGACGAUGGUUCUUCUUUUGUUUGCUUUGAGUUUUGUUUUGCUUUUUUAAAUGGUGAGUGGAUAAAUGAUUAAGGAGGAUCCUUGAUGUCAACCCCUGGUCUCCACAUGCAAGCAAGUACAAGUACCUACACAUGUACAUGUGUGCACACAUGCACACGUAGACAAGAUAGAGAGAGAGAGAGGGAGAAGGAAAUCCAGGUGACUCAGGCCUUUCCGAGGACAAGCUUGAGCACAGUAGUGUCCUCAUGACUGUCAAGGCCACAUCAUUGGGGAGACAUCGUCUCAACCUCCCCAUCUUUCUGCCGAUGGCUGCCUCAAAAGCAUUUCGGAUCUGCUUUUCCAUGGGGCUAACUCCCAGCCGAUGUGCGUUCAGCGUGCAUUGGCCACAGGGUACUUCGGAGCGAGCCCUGGUUCUUCAUGGAGCCCUCUGUCUGGUGGAGUAGCCCAAGUCUAUGUCUGCCUCCUGUGGUCUUUCUUGAUUUUUUUUUAAGACUUGCAGCCUGUAUGAGACCUCAUGUGACUGAGGAUAGCUGUGCUUUCCACCCAAAACAAAAUCAUACACUUAAAACAUUACGAGUUUGCUUUUUCUUUUGUCCUUUGUAACUCAGUUGCUCAGUUUGGGGUGGGAACUUUGCAGAUGGUGUCACUGUGCUGAAAUGUCAAAGCAUAAGACCUGAGAAUCAUUGGCAUUUGCAGUUCAAUGUACUGUUAUUACAUUACCAAUCGUUCUGUGUGCAGGCUUGCCAAGAGGGCAUGGAUGCCCAACCUCAGGUGGGUUUGAGGGCAUUGCCAGGUGGGCUGAUCUGUAGAAGAGCAGAGUCUUGUCCCCAGAUUUCCCACCAGAGAAUUCCCGUGAUUCUUCAUUUCAGGCGCCAUUGUUCCCCAGGGGACAUUUGGCAAUGCCUAGAGAUCAUUCUUGUCUCGGGUUUACAGAGGAGUGCGGAGGUCCUGCCUCUAGAGGGUGGAGGCCAGAGGUGCUGCUCAUCCACACACACAGGAUGGACCCUAUGGCUGAGUGCUACCCAGCCCCCAAAUGCCAACGGCACCGAAGAUGGGAGACUCCAUCAGACCUCAGAGUCCAAAUCGAUGGGGAGUUUUCCAAAGCUGCACCCGUCAUGUGUGAGUCAGAUCACACGUGGGUCAGAGAAAAUCAGAGCACAGAGGCUGCUCAAGGUGAGAGAAUGUCAGCCAUGUGACUGCUCCCUGGGUGGAGAUGACCCUACGAUACAGCCAGACUGCUGAGGCUGAGCCUGCCUCCCACCUGUGACUCUGUCCAGGACCUCUGAGGCCUGCCUCUCACCAGGGCACCUGAGAAACAUGAUCAGUGGAGAGCUCCUGAUGGGGACAGGAACAGCAUCUGACAAAUCCAGGUCUCCUUUCUGACCCUCUGUGUCCCCCAGCCCUGCUCGCCAAAGCUGCAGACAUUCUAACUCUUUCUUCUGUCUAACUCUUUCCGGAAUUCUUACCCAUCACCUGCUGCUCACGGAUUCCAGCCGUUCACCAGGAGAGCAUCAGCCAAGCUUCUGUGUUUGUGACGAUUGCUUAGCCAGCUUGUAAAUGUGACAUGGAGGUACUUUAACUGUUGUUCUGGGUCCCUGCUGCCCAGGCACCUGGUUCUCUGUGUAUUACUGGCUUCUAUUUUGCAGCAGAAAGGUUCUUUGCUGAUGUAAGAUUAACGUGUGCUCUCUUGAAGGUAUGAUGGUGACACUUCCCUGUGUUAGCUUUCUUGCUAUGGUUGUCAUUUUCUAUUUCAAUUAAACAAAAGGAAGAUUUAACUCUG
rnacentral:lncRNA from 1 species